CCUACGGGCGGCUGCAGUGGGGAAUAUUGGACAAUGGGGGCAACCCUGAUCCAGCCAUGCCGCGUGUGUGAAGAAGGCCCUCGGGUUGUAAAGCACUUUCAGUGAGGAAGAACGCCUGGUGGUUAAUACCCAUCAGGAAAGACAUCACUCACAGAAGAAGCACCGGCUAACUCCGUGCCAGCAGCCGCGGUAAUACGGAGGGUGCGAGCGUUAAUCGGAAUUACUGGGCGUAAAGCGCGCGUAGGUGGCUUGAUAAGCCGGUUGUGAAAGCCCCGGGCUCAACCUGGGAACGGCAUCCGGAACUGUCAAGCUAGAGUGCAGGAGAGGAAGGUAGAAUUCCCGGUGUAGCGGUGAAAUGCGUAGAGAUCGGGAGGAAUACCAGUGGCGAAGGCGGCCUUCUGGACUGACACUGACACUGAGGUGCGAAAGCGUGGGUAGCAAACGGGAUUAGAUACCCUGGUAGUC
rnacentral:rRNA from 1 species